GUGAAUCAUCGAAUCUUUGAACGCAAAUUGCACUCUCUGGUAUUCCGGAGAGUGUGCCUGUUUGAGGGUCAGUUUAAAUAAAAAUCGGUGUGGUUGCUGCCUUUCGUGGUUACGCACCGGAUGUGGGUUGUCUUGCCUUCGGGUAAGGGACCUAAAAUUUUGCAUGAUUUUUCUCGAACGGAUUUAAAUGAUUUUACGUACGUUUGCGAUUUAGAAUUCUAGGU
rnacentral:misc_RNA from 1 species